GCCCCCGAAUUUGCUUGGCUCCUGGCGUCGGCGGUAGUCUGUGUGUGGCCUGCCCCUCACUGCUUCCUCUGUGGGGACUUGGAGGUGACAGGGACCUGCGGCAGUGUGGUGCCAUGAAGGGGCAUGCAGCAGUACUAGCAGGAGGAGGUGGUCCAGCCAGUCCAGCCGCACUCACCUUUUUUACCACUCUCUGACGCUGUUGCCCGACGUCAUGAUCCAACAAAAAACAGAAGAAGGGACCCACUGCUGCCGGAGAAGAAAGGGGACCCGCUUUUCCUGUCACUGAUGAGAAGGGGGACCCACUACUGCCCGAGGGACCUGCGGCAGUGUGGUGCCAUGAAGGGGCAUGCAGCAGUACUAGCAGGAGGAGGUGGUCCAGCCAGUCCAGCCGCACUCACCUUUUUUACCACUCUCUGACGCUGUUGCCCGACGUCAUGAUCCAACAAAAAACAGAAGAAGGGACCCACUGCUGCCGGAGAAGAAAGGGGACCCGCUUUUCCUGUCACUGAUGAGAAGGGGGACCCACUACUGCCCGAGGUACACAGUGCCGUUUCACUGAAGGGAGGGACGCACAGUGUCACUUGUACUGGGGGCAGGGGGACAGAGCUAAGUACACAGGGUCACCUGUACCCCCUCUCUCAACCCUCCAUCCGUCUCACCUCUCUCUUUUUCUCUCUUUCCCCUCUCUCAACCCUGGUCUCUCUCACCCCCACUGUUUCCCUCUUUCUU